rnacentral:tRNA from 1 species
AACCCACCCAAAGCAAGACACUGAAAAUGCCUAGAUGGGCUUACACACCCCAUAAACA